GAGUAAAUUUUCUUUAUAGAGGCUUGUAUGAUGCCAUGUUUGGGAUUUGUGAUGAAAACAGUGGUGAUAACACACUGGAGUAAUCUCACCUUGGGAGAGUGAGCAAGAGGCUAUGUGGUACUUGGCUGCCUGCUGAGGUUAAACCGUAACAAAAGCUCUGCUCUAAUAUUGAACAGCUGUGUAAUCCUGGGUGAGAUUUCUGUAACAAUAGCUAAGAUAUGGGAAACUGCUGUGAGAAGCUCCAUUUGGGGCCUCUACCCAUGCAGCCUCCACUGGCUUAGGUGCUGCACUGAGGUCUCAAUACCUUGCCUCUGUCCUGCUAUUUCAUUGACAAUCACCCCCUGAUCUGUUGGCUGAACUUUGUUACCAUCUCCAAACCUGCUUCAUCUUUCAUGGUCGGGUACUGUGGGACUACACCAGUCAUGAGUGAGGCACUGUCCUGCUGUCACCCUCACAUCCCUUGUGAAGGAGUCACAUUGACUCCUGACAGCAACAGACAGAAGAGUGUUCAGUAGCAUCAUCACUAAUACAAAUGGAAGCACAAAUGUGUAUUAGUACAGACUUGGAUAUCCUGUUGACCUUUUUACGCUCAGCAGUCCAUAGAGACAUAUAGGUCAAGUACUACUUCAAGUUUUGUGUCUUCAGAAUGCCCUUCAAUGGUACUGUUACUUCAAGACGGCAUUCCUACAAACUCCUCCUCAGAAUUCUAGUUUUUCCUCCUCCUUGUAAUAAUAUGUAUAGACUAAAAAUAUUUUGUAAUGCAUUUACUUAUAUGGAACAUGCUGUGAUCUUUCCAGUAUAACUCCCGCCACCACUCCAAUAAAAUAAAAACCUAAUUUCACAGUUAGAAAAGCUUGAGUAAAGAUCCAAACAGUAUUGAGCAAUCAUUGAAAAGUUCCUAUGAUAUACUUUCUUGUUCUACUUUAGCAAUUAUGAGUACAUGACUUCAGUUUCUCAUCAUAAACAAAUUUAAUAUUUUCAA